UACGUAGGUGGCAAGCGUUGUCCGGAUUUACUGGGUGUAAAGGGCGUGUAGGCGGAGCUGCAAGUCAGAUGUGAAAUCCCGGGGCUCAACCCCGGAACUGCAUUUGAAGCUGUAGCCCUUGAGUAUCGGAGAGGCAGGCGGAAUUCCUAGUGUAGCGGUGAAAUGCGUAGAUAUUAGGAGGAACACCAGUGGCGAAGGCGGCCUGCUGGACGACAACUGACGCUGAGGCGCGAAAGCGUGGGGAGCAAACAGG
rnacentral:rRNA from 1 species